CCACUUUGGCAGCAGAAAUACUAAAAUUGGAAUGAUACAGAGAAGAUUAGCAUGGUCCCUGCAAAAGGAUGACAUGCAAAUUAGUGAAGUUUUCCAUAAUCUU